AUGCACGCUGGCGGCGUGCCUAAUACAUGCAAGUAGAACGCUGAAGGAAGGAGCUUGCUCUUUCCGGAUGGGUUGCGAACGGGUGAGUAACGCGUAGGUAACCUGCCUGGUAGCGGGGGAUAACUAUUGGAAACGAUAGCUAAUACCGCAUAACAGUAGAUGUUGCAUGAUAUCUACUUAAAAGGUGCAAUUGCACCACUACCAGAUGGACCUGCGUUGUAUUAGCUAGUUGGUGAGGUAACGGCUCACCAAGGCGACGAUACAUAGCCGACCUGAGAGGGUGAUCGGCCACACUGGGACUGAGACACGGCCCAGACUCCUACGGGAGGCAGCAGUAGGGAAUCUUCGGCAAUGGACGGAAGUCUGACCGAGCAACGCCGCGUGAGUGAAGAAGGUUUUCGGAUCGUAAAGCUCGGUUGUAAGAGAAGAACGAGUGUGAGAGUGGAAAGUUCACACUGUGACGGUAUCUGACCAGAAAGGGACGGCUAACUACGUG
rnacentral:rRNA from 1 species